CGCCAGACUCCUACGGGAGGCAGCAGUGGGGAAUAUUGCACAAUGGGGGAAACCCUGAUGCAGCGACGCCGCGUGAGCGAUGAAGUAUUUCGGUAUGUAAAGCUCUAUCAGCAGGGAAGAAAAUGACGGUACCUGACUAAGAAGCCCCGGCUAACUACGUGCCAGCAGCCGCGGUAAUACGUAGGGGGCAAGCGUUAUCCGGAUUUACUGGGUGUAAAGGGAGCGUAGACGGCAUGGCAAGUCAGAUGUGAAAGCCCGGGGCUCAACCCCGGGACUGCAUUUGAAACUGUCAGGCUGGAGUGCAGGAGAGGUAAGUGGAAUUCCUAGUGUAGCGGUGAAAUGCGUAGAUAUUAGGAGGAACACCAGUGGCGAAGGCGGCUUACUGGACUGUAACUGACGUUGAGGCUCGAAAGCGUGGGGAGCAAACAGGAUUAGAUACCCCAGUAUC
rnacentral:rRNA from 1 species